CAAGAAAUCAGUCAUCACCUUGAUCAGCAGCCCAGCAUUUCAGCCAGUACUAGUCUGGCUGCAAUUGCUCUUGUUUCCUGACCUCAACUAUUAAGAGUGUAUCUUUGUGAACUUUAAAUCGUUCUCCAAGAGCAUUUUAACAAAUGCAUCUUAACCUAACAGUUUACAUCUCUAAAUUCUCUCUAAGGUUGGUGGUUGUUACUAACACUCUCCAUCUCUAAGUUCUUUCCCAGGGUGGUGACUGAGUCAUUAAUCUGCUCCUACAGCGAUGUUUGAAGAAGAUCCAGCAUUAUUUUAUUCUUCAGAUAACACUGAAAGCUUUGCAGUCAUCCUGGCAGGAGAGAAGAUAUUCUAAAAGGACACCUGUGCUCCUUCCUUUGGCUGUCAGACUAUUGAGACAAUGAAUUUCAAGGAAUGGAAUUUCCCCCCAGGAAUCUCAUGCUGGGGACAGCCAGAGGGGACUUUGUCUUUCUGGAAGAAAUUUGACACAACUUGUCAGACCACUUUGCAGGAGAGACUGAGCCUGAGCCCCCACCUAGACCAGGACUGCUAAUAUAUACUUCUUGAUGUCUACUUAAGCUUAAGUAAGACUCCUGUGAAUGCUCAGAAGAUGGGGGGCGGGGGGCGGGGCUGACUCAGGACAUAAUUGCUCUUCUCCCCAAUGUAGCACAUCGAAUAAAU
rnacentral:lncRNA from 1 species